rnacentral:rRNA from 1 species
UACACGACCGUACCGCAAACCGACACUGGUGCGCGAGAUGAGUAUUCUAAGGCGCUUGAGAGAACUCAGGAGAAGGAACUCGGCAAAUUGACACCGUAACUUCGGAAGAAGGUGUGCCUUUAGUAGGUGAACCUGUACAAGGGGAGCCCAAUGAGGUUGCAAAAAAUCGGUGGCUGCGACUGUUUAAUAAAAACACAGCACUCUGCAAACACGAAAGUGGACGUAUAGGGUGUGACGCCUGCCCGGUGCUGGAAGAUUAAAUGAUGGGGUGCAAGCUCUGAUUGAAGACCCGGUAAACGGCGGCCGUAACAAUAACGGUCCUAAGGUAGCGAAAUUCCUUGUCGGGUAAGUUCCGACCUGCACGAAUGGCGUAACGAUGGCCACACUGUCUCCUCCUGAGACUCAGCGAAGUUGAAAUGUUUGUGAUGAUGCAAUCUCCCCGCGGAAAGACGGAAAGACCCCAUGAACCUUUACUGUAGCUUUGUAUUGGACUUUGAACAGAUCUGUGUAGGAUAGGUGGGAGGCUUUGAAGUGUGGUCGCUAGAUCGCAUGGAGCCAACGUUGAAAUACCACCCUGGUGUGUUUGAGGUUCUAACCUAGGCCCGUAAUCCGGGUCGGGGACAGUGCAUGGUAGGCAGUUUGACUGGGGCGGUCUCCUCCCAAAGCGUAACGGAGGAGUUCGAAGGUACGCUAGGUACGGUCGGACACCGUGCUAAUAGUGCAAUGGCAUAAGCGUGCUUAACUGCGAGACUGACAAGUCGAGCAGAUGCGAAAGCAGGACAUAGUGAUCCGGUGGUUCUGUAUGGAAGGGCCAUCGCUCAACGGAUAAAAGGUACUCUGGGGAUAACAGGCUGAUACCGCCCAAGAGUUCAUAUCGACGGCGGUGUUUGGCACCUCGAUGUCGGCUCAUCUCAUCCUGGGGCUGUAGCCGGUCCCAAGGGUAUGGCUGUUCGCCAUUUAAAGAGGUACGUGAGCUGGGUUUAAACGUCGUGAGACAGUUUGGUCCCUAUCUUCCGUGGGCGCUGCAGAUCUGAGGAAGCCUGCUCCUAGUACGAGAGGACCGGAGUGGACACACCUCUGGUGUAUCGGUUGUCACGCCAGUGGCAUUGCCGAGUAGCUAUGUGUGGAAGAGAUAACCGCUGAAAGCAUCUAAGCGGGAAACUCGUUUCAAGAUGAGAUCUGCCGGGGCCUUGAGCCCCCUAAAGAGUCGUUCAAGACCAGGACGUUGAUAGGUCGGGUGUGGAAGCGCAGUAAUGCGUUAAGCUAACCGAUACUAAUUGCUCGUGCGGCUUGACC